rnacentral:rRNA from 1 species
UACGUAGGGGGCAAGCGUUGUCCGGAUUUAUUGGGCGUAAAGAGCGUGUAGGCGGCCAUACAGGUCAGCUGUGAAAACUCGAGGCUCAACCUCGAGACGUCGGUUGAAACCGUAUGGCUAGAGUCCGGAAGAGGAGGGUGGAAUUCCCGGUGUAGCGGUGAAAUGCGCAGAUAUCGGGAAGAACACCCGUGGCGAAGGCGGCUCUCUGGGACGGUACUGACGCUGAGACGCGAAAGCGUGGGGAGCGAACAGG